rnacentral:rRNA from 1 species
UACAGAGGGUGCAAGCGUUGUUCGGAAUCAUUGGGCGUAAAGGGCGUGUAGGCGGUCUGUUAAGUCAUGUGUGAAAUCCCUCGGCUCAACCGGGGAACGACGCAUGAAACUGACAAGCUAGAGUACCAAAGAGGGGGGUGGAAUUCCCGGUGUAGCGGUGAAAUGCGCAGAUAUCAGGAGGAACACCGAUGGCGAAGGCAGGUCUCUGGGCCGAUACUGACGCUGAGGAGCGAAAGCGUGGGGAGCGAACAGG